rnacentral:lncRNA from 1 species
ACUUGCUCCCGGCGCACGGCUGUCCCGGUGAGCUUAUAAUUGGCUCGUGCGUGCAUCUGCGUGCGGUGUUGGAUUCGGCAAACCAGCGCCGUGCGCGCGUCCGGCCAGAGCGCGCGCGUCAGGCAUCGCCACGGGAGUGGCGCAAGGUGCCUCUUGGCUUGGUGUCGCCGUGUCGGGUCCGUGCGCUUCCGGCUCCGGGGGCCCGUGGGAUUUUGUUCGGUGCCCACAACCACAAGUGGCCGUUUUCCCCCCCG